GUCCACGCCCUAAACGAUGGAUAUUAGCUAGGGGGCCCUGCAAGGGGUUCCUUGGUGUAGCGAAAGCGUUAAAUAUCCCGCCUGGGGAGUAUGGUCGCAAGGCUGAAACUCAAAAUAAUUGACGGGGGCUCACACAAGCGGUGGAGCAUGUUGCUUAAUUCGAUGCAACGCGAAGAACCUUACCCGGGCUCGAAGUGUACGGAUUAGUUCUAUGAAAGUAGAAUUACACCUUAACCGGUGGAACGUACAAAGGUGUUGCAUGGCUGUCGU
rnacentral:rRNA from 1 species